rnacentral:rRNA from 1 species
UUGCACGCUGGCGGCAGGCCUAGCACAUGCAAGUCGAGCGGAUGAAGGGAGCUUGCUCCUGGAUUCAGCGGCGGACGGGUGAGUAAUGCCUAGGAAUCUGCCUGGUAGUGGGGGAUAACGUCCGGAAACGGGCGCUAAUACCGCAUACGUCCUGAGGGAGAAAGUGGGGGAUCUUCGGACCUCACGCUAUCAGAUGAGCCUAGGUCGGAUUAGCUAGUUGGUGGGGUAAAGGCCUACCAAGGCGACGAUCCGUAACUGGUCUGAGAGGAUGAUCAGUCACACUGGAACUGAGACACGGUCCAGACUCCUACGGGAGGCAGCAGUGGGGAAUAUUGGACAAUGGGCGAAAGCCUGAUCCAGCCAUGCCGCGUGUGUGAAGAAGGUCUUCGGAUUGUAAAGCACUUUAAGUUGGGAGGAAGGGCAGUAAGUUAAUACCUUGCUGUUUUGACGUUACCAACAGAAUAAGCACCGGCUAACUUCGUG